GACGAACGCUGGCGGCGUGCUUAAUACAUGCAAGUCGAACGGACAGGCCCUGAUCUUGUGGGGUGCUCGAGUGGCGAGCGGGUGUGUAUCACGUGUGUAUCAUGCACUUGUCUUUGGGGUAACUUCUGGAAAAUCGGGCUCAUAUCGGAUAGGAGCUCUUGAUGCAUGGUGGGGGUUGGAAAAUUUCGGCGGUUGGGGAUGGAAUCGAAGCUUACGAGCUUGAUGGUGGGGUAGUGGCAUACCAGGGCUACGACGGAUAGCCGGCCUGGGAGGGUGGCCGGCCACAAUGGUCCUAAGGUACGGCCCAGACUGCAACGGGAGGCAGCAGUGGGGAAUAUGGCACAACGGGCGGAAGCCUGAGGCGGCAACGCCGCGUGCGGGAUAACGGGCUUCGAGGUGUAAACCGCUUUCGCCUGUGACGAAGCGUGAGUGACGGUAAUGGGUAAAAAAGCACCGGCUAACUACGUG
rnacentral:rRNA from 1 species